UCAAAUUUAACUUCUUAUCUUUUACUGCAUCCACCAUUCUUUCAUUAUCUGCCCUUCAUGCGGAUCUUAACAAUCAUUUUUGUCUACUUGAAAAAUGUUCAUAUUUAUGGUCCACUGGCUAGGAGCUGUCAAAGCAGUUGAAGAGUUCAAGCUUCUAUCUAUGGAGACAAUGAUGAUGAGGAAAGUGCCAUUGGCAAUGGAAAAGCAAAUGAUGCCGCCAAAAAAAAUAAAUAAACCAUUUGCUGAAAAUGCAGCUAAGGAGUCUGCAAACUACAACUGGCCAGAUCUUACUGAUAAUGGACAUGAUACUGGUGUUUCACCUCUGUAUAGAGCAGUGAAGGGAUUGAAGUUGCUAGGAACCAAGUCAGCCUCAAUUGUUCCUUGAAAACCCUGAAGAUUUUGGAAGACUCUACUGUAUAGACUAGAGCACAAAAGAGCUAACAUUAGAGCUGUGAAGCAUUGGUGUGGGCAGAUCUUGAGAGGGAUUCCUUACUUCCAUAGCCAUGACUAUGAUCCAAAGAGAUCUGAAGUGUCAUGUUUUUGUGAAUGGGAACCAAGGAGAAGUGAAGAUUGGAGAUCUUGGCCUUGCUGCACUUCUUGCAUAAAAAUAUAUCUUUUUUUCCCAUCCUCUCUUCAUGGAGAUCUUUCUACUACUGAUCUUUUUUGUAUGUCAUUUCUCACCUAUUUGUGAUCAGUGAUUCGCUUAAUGAUGAUUGUGAAUCCCCCGCAGCGAAUCGCGGGGAAAGCCAACUAGUUAGAUUCCAUACUUUGUUGGUUGUUUGUGGAAGGUAUAAUUAAUAUAUUUAGGAUUCCUUGCA